CUCGUGGAGGAAUAUUUGAGGAGGUGUGUCCCACGUAGCUCGAGAGGCACUGAAUGAACCCUGAGAUUCUGCGUCAUUCUCCCAUCUCAGCCUCCCUUACGCUGAUGCUCCAGAUAAAAUUCCAAAACCUUAAAGAAAAACAAAUGAACAAACUCCUCUCAUCCUUCUACUAAUUUCGAAGCGGCCAGAUUCCUCAUCAAAAGUACUGAACGCACAAGUAUCCCAUAAUUGGCUCCCACGUACUUACGCUGUGCACACAGGUCUGUGAACCAGAUAACAUCUUGGGUGCGUGUCUGCGAGGAGUGGCGCUAAACGCUUCCGUAUCACGACAUCAAAGCCGUUCAGAGAUGAAAGGGCAUCUGAAUAUUUGCAUCAUAAACAAGCUUUACAUACUAGAUAUUCCAAGAAUCUUUCAUUUUAACAGGUGGAGAAAUGAGGACAGGAGCACCUCCGUAAAGCACAGAGCCUCACUUGUGGUUGCUGACUCAGUUGGUGUGGCUUUGAUAGAACCACUGCAAUUAAGCGCCGUGAUGAGCAAGGACUUGUUCGGCUCUUCAUAAGCAGGAGGUUUUACAGUACCUUGAGGAAUUCCAGUGGACCAGAUCAUGCCAGGACCCCCGGUAGAGACUUUCUCUCAGAUGCUGAAGCCAAGCCAAGCUGAGCAGUCCAACGACAAGUAUUGGAGCAUUUCUAAAAAUCUGCCACCCCCUCCCCACAACCACCUCCAGGGACGAUAUUUUGAAGCUCAUGUUAAUUUUAUCCCUUAAAAUUCAUUUGGGGGGAAAAUACCUGAUAAACUGGGAAUCUUCAGGAAAUCUAUUCCUGAAACAAAAUGUCCCUUUCUUUCUCCCUUUCCUUACCUGGUUUAGAACUAGUCAGCCCCUUUUUACUGCACUAUUCUACUACAAAUAUUGUAACCUGGCUUCCUUUAGCUAGAGCCCAAGCCUGGGAAGAAGCUGACCAUGUUCACAGCCUAGCUAAUCAUGCCAGUGUGUCCAAGCUUUA